rnacentral:tRNA from 1 species
AGGAUAAUAGUUUAAUAAAAACGUUUUAAUUGCAUUAAAAAUAUACUAAAUAUUAGUUUAUCUUA